UCGAGAAUAGUCUACAAUGGUCGGAAGACUGAUAGUGCGACGCCGCGUGAACGAGGAAGCCCUUCGGGGUGUAAAGUUCUUUUAUAUGUGAGCAGUGGGUUCUACGUUAAUAGCGUGGGAUCAGGGAUAUUAGCAUAUGAAUAAGCAACGGCUAACUCCGUGCCAGCAGCCGCGGUAACACGGGGGUUGCGAGCGUUGUCCGGAAUUACUAGGCGUAAAGGGCAGGUAGGCGGAUCUAUAAGUUUUUUGUCAAAUUCAACGGCUCACCCGUUGCUCGGCAGGAGAUACUGUAGAUCUGGAAUGCGGUUGGGGAAGACAGAAUUCCUGGUGUAGCGGUGGAAUGCGCAGAGAUCAGGAGGAAUACCUAAGGCGAAGGCAGUCUUCUAAGCCGUAAUUGACGCUAAACUGCGAAGGUGUGGGUAUCAAACAGG
rnacentral:rRNA from 1 species